AUUGAACGCUGGCGGCAUGCCUUACACAUGCAAGUCGAACGGCAGCACGGGAGCAAUCCUGGUGGCGAGUGGCGAACGGGUGAGUAAUAUAUCGGAACGUGCCCAGUCGUGGGGAUAACGUAGCGAAAGCUACGCUAAUACCGCAUACGAUCUAUGGAUGAAAGCGGGGGAUCGCAAGACCUCGCGCGAUUGGAGCGGCCGAUAUCAGAUUAGGUAGUUGGUGAGGUAAAGGCUCACCAAGCCGACGAUCUGUAGCUGGUCUGAGAGGACGACCAGCCACACUGGGACUGAGACACGGCCCAGACUCCUACGGGAGGCAGCAGUGGGGAAUUUUGGACAAUGGACGCAAGUCUGAUCCAGCCAUUCCGCGUGCAGGAUGAAGGCCCUCGGGUUGUAAACUGCUUUUGUACGGAACGAAACGGUGAGCUCUAAUACAGUUUGCUAAUGACGGUACCGUAAGAAUAAGCACCGGCUAACUACGUG
rnacentral:rRNA from 1 species